AUUGAACGCUGGCGGAAUGCUUUACACAUGCAUGUCGAACGGUAGAGGGGGCAACCCCUCGAGAGUGGCGAACGGGUGAGUAAUAUAUCGGAACGUGCCCAGUCGUGGGGGAUAACGUAGCGAAAGUUACGCUAAUACCGCAUACGAUCUAAGGAUGAAAGCGGGGGAUCGCAAGACCUCGCGCGAUUGGAGCGGCCGAUAUCAGAUUAGGUAGUUGGUGGGGUAAAGGCUCACCAAGCCAACGAUCUGUAGCUGGUCUGAGAGGACGACCAGCCACACUGGAACUGAGACACGGUCCAGACUCCUACGGGAGGCAGCAGUGGGGAAUUUUGGACAAUGGACGCAAGUCUGAUCCAGCCAUUCCGCGUGCAGGAUGAAGGCCCUCGGGUUGUAAACUGCUUUUGUACGGAACGAAAAGGUCUCUCUUAAUACGGGGGACUCAUGACGGUACCGUAAGAAUAAGCACCGGCUAACUACGUGCCAGCCGCCGCGAUAA
rnacentral:rRNA from 1 species